rnacentral:tRNA from 1 species
GCGCCGGUGGUGUAAGGCGAACAUCGCUGCCCGGAAAGAUGCGGGUUCGAGUCCCGUCUGGCGCA